CGUGUAGGCGGUCAGGUAAGUGAGACGUGAAAUGCCUCGGCUCACCCGAGGAGCUGCGUCCCAAACUGCUUGGCUUGAGUAUGGGAGAGGAUGUGGGAAUCCCUGGUGUAGCGGUGAAAUGCGUAGAUAUCAGGAGGAACACCGGUGGCGAAGGCGCACAUCUGGCCCAAUACUGACGCUGAGGCGCGAAAGCUAGGGAGCAAACG
rnacentral:rRNA from 1 species